CCCCGAGUGGCGGAAUUGGUAGACGCGCUAGCUUCAGGUGCUAGUCUAAGCAAUUAGGUACAGGUUCAAGUCCUGCCUCGGGGACCA
rnacentral:tRNA from 1 species